rnacentral:rRNA from 1 species
UUAAGCGACUAAGCGUACACGGUGGAUGCCCUGGCAGUCAGAGGCGAUGAAGGACGUGCUAAUCUGCGAUAAGCGUCGGUAAGGUGAUAUGAACCGUUAUAACCGGCGAUUUCCGAAUGGGGAAACCCAGUGUGUUUCGACACACUAUCAUUAACUGAAUCCAUAGGUUAAUGAGGCGAACCGGGGGAACUGAAACAUCUAAGUACCCCGAGGAAAAGAAAUCAACCGAGAUUCCCCCAGUAGCGGCGAGCGAACGGGGAGCAGCCCAGAGCCUGAAUCAGUGUGUGUGUUAGUGGAAGCGUCUGGAAAGGCGCGCGAUACAGGGUGACAGCCCCGUACACAAAAAUGCACAUGCUGUGAGCUCGAUGAGUAGGGCGGGACACGUGGUAUCCUGUCUGAAUAUGGGGGGACCAUCCUCCAAGGCUAAAUACUCCUGACUGACCGAUAGUGAACCAGUACCGUGAGGGAAAGGCGAAAAGAACCCCGGCGAGGGGAGUGAAAAAGAACCUGAAACCGUGUACGUACAAGCAGUGGGAGCACGCUUAGGCGUGUGACUGCGUACCUUUUGUAUAAUGGGUCAGCGACUUAUAUUCUGUAGCAAGGUUAACCGAAUAGGGGAGCCGAAGGGAAACCGAGUCUUAACUGGGCGUUAAGUUGCAGGGUAUAGACCCGAAACCCGGUGAUCUAGCCAUGGGCAGGUUGAAGGUUGGGUAACACUAACUGGAGGACCGAACCGACUAAUGUUGAAAAAUUAGCGGAUGACUUGUGGCUGGGGGUGAAAGGCCAAUCAAACCGGGAGAUAGCUGGUUCUCCCCGAAAGCUAUUUAGGUAGCGCCUCGUGAAUUCAUCUCCGGGGGUAGAGCACUGUUUCGGCAAGGGGGUCAUCCCGACUUACCAACCCGAUGCAAACUGCGAAUACCGGAGAAUGUUAUCACGGGAGACACACGGCGGGUGCUAACGUCCGUCGUGAAGAGGGAAACAACCCAGACCGCCAGCUAAGGUCCCAAAGUCAUGGUUAAGUGGGAAACGAUGUGGGAAGGCCCAGACAGCCAGGAUGUUGGCUUAGAAGCAGCCAUCAUUUAAAGAAAGCGUAAUAGCUCACUGGUCGAGUCGGCCUGCGCGGAAGAUGUAACGGGGCUAAACCAUGCACCGAAGCUGCGGCAGCGACACUAUGUGUUGUUGGGUAGGGGAGCGUUCUGUAAGCCUGCGAAGGUGUACUGUGAGGUAUGCUGGAGGUAUCAGAAGUGCGAAUGCUGACAUAAGUAACGAUAAAGCGGGUGAAAAGCCCGCUCGCCGGAAGACCAAGGGUUCCUGUCCAACGUUAAUCGGGGCAGGGUGAGUCGACCCCUAAGGCGAGGCCGAAAGGCGUAGUCGAUGGGAAACAGGUUAAUAUUCCUGUACUUGGUGUUACUGCGAAGGGGGGACGGAGAAGGCUAUGUUGGCCGGGCGACGGUUGUCCCGGUUUAAGCGUGUAGGCUGGUUUUCCAGGCAAAUCCGGAAAAUCAAGGCUGAGGCGUGAUGACGAGGCACUACGGUGCUGAAGCAACAAAUGCCCUGCUUCCAGGAAAAGCCUCUAAGCAUCAGGUAACAUCAAAUCGUACCCCAAACCGACACAGGUGGUCAGGUAGAGAAUACCAAGGCGCUUGAGAGAACUCGGGUGAAGGAACUAGGCAAAAUGGUGCCGUAACUUCGGGAGAAGGCACGCUGAUAUGUAGGUGAAGCGACUUGCUCGUGGAGCUGAAAUCAGUCGAAGAUACCAGCUGGCUGCAACUGUUUAUUAAAAACACAGCACUGUGCAAACACGAAAGUGGACGUAUACGGUGUGACGCCUGCCCGGUGCCGGAAGGUUAAUUGAUGGGGUUAGCGGUAACGCGAAGCUCUUGAUCGAAGCCCCGGUAAACGGCGGCCGUAACUAUAACGGUCCUAAGGUAGCGAAAUUCCUUGUCGGGU